rnacentral:rRNA from 1 species
AUACGGAGGGUGCAAGCGUUAUUCGGAAUUACUGGGCGUAAAGGGCGCGUAGGCGGCGCAUUAAGUCAGUUGUGAAAGCCCGGGGCUCAACCCCGGAAGUGCAAUUGAAACUGGUGUGCUUGAGUAUGGUAGAGGGAAGUGGAAUUCCUGGUGUAGCGGUGAAAUGCGUAGAUAUCAGGAGGAACACCCGUGGCGAAGGCGACUUCCUGGACCAAUUCUGACGCUGAGGCGCGAAGGCGUGGGGAGCAAACAGGAUUAGAAACCCCAGUAGUCC